GUUAGUAGCUCACGCCUGACAUAAUAUUUUGAUAAAUCUAAUACAUUUUUAGAUUUAAAUAUGACUUUAAUAACUGAAUAAAUACUUUUCUUCUACAAAAAUAUAGAGAGACACUCUCGUUGAAUAUUGUUUUAGUAACGUAUGGGUAAGAUUUUCUAAACGAAGUGUGGCAACCCCAAUUACUUAAUAAAAAAUAAAUAUGUUAUAAAAUGAAAAUGGCGUCAUUUCACUAAAUAAAACACGAAUUCACGAAUAAUAAAAUAAAUGUUUGCCACGGCCUGUUAAUAUUUAUGAAGACCUUUUCAUGGAUUGGAUUUAAGCAACCUGCUGUGUAUUAUCCUCGCCAUUCUUGAUGUUGAGAAGAUCUAUAAGUCUUUUGCGUUUCAUCUGAGUGUUGUGGUUUUUCAUUAUGUUAAAAAUAAGACUUUGUUAGUUCAAGUGUCUCUAUAACUAUGAAGAAGAACAAAAGAAAAUGCUUUGAGUGUGGUUCUUCGCCUGCCGAUGAUCCAGAGAAGACCCUACAGAGAUUACAGAAAUUUGAUUCUACAAAUUUAGUCUCCGUAAUGUCCAGAUAAUCAAUGAUUAGACUAUUGGACUUUUAGAAUAAAUUUUACAUUGAACUAUGAAUGGUUUGUCAUCUACAUUUUUAAAAAAGACGAGAUGUUUUGCCUGUAAGAACAAGAGAGAGAGAGAAUAAGAAGCAAUCCUGCUUCUUCACAUGAAUUUUACCCGCAUGACGACGGUUUUUAAUAUAAAAAAUAUUUACACAAUGUCUCAAAAAGCAAUCAAAACUUUCAAAAAUAAACAAUGUUCGCAGAAGUUUAGUACCAACAAACUUACAAAAAAUGAGCCCAAAUUUAGCAUUACUUGCAAGCCAGACUAAGAAAUUUCAAGAAGAUAAUUUAAAAGAAGACAAUAGAAUAAAAUAAUAUUAACACACAAUGCUUAGCAAAUAUAGCAUUAACCAGGCAAUAGGUGUAGCAAAAUAGAAGAUGAAGGUCUAGCUGUGCCAGUCAGUGCUGAGCCACACAGUACAGUUGCUGCUGGCAUGUUUGCAAAAUAGCACAAGGUGUAGCAAAAUAGAAGAUGAAGGUCUAGCUGUGCCAGUCAGUGCUGAGCCACACAGUACAGUUGCUGCUGGCAUGUUUGCAAAAUAGCACAAGGUGUAGCAAAAUAGAAGAUGAAGGUCUAGCUGUGCCAGUCAGUGCUGAGCCACACAGUUGCUGCUGGCAUGUUUGCAAAAUAGCACAAGGUGCUGUAAAAUGAAGAUAUAUUGUUAAAUAUCAUGAGAUAGAAAUAAAAGAUGAAGAUCUAGCUGUACCCGUCCCGAGCCACACUACUGCAGCCACGUUGCUGCUGGCAUUUUUGCAAAAUAGCACAAGGUCACAACAAUUGAUGUAACAAUUAUAAUCAAUGGACCAGGCACCUGCACCAUGAUUCUUUGGAAUACUAAAAUUCGUCUCUUUAUGUCUGUACUUCUCAUAAUGAAAAAUGUCACAUUUUUAUGAAAGAAAUAAUGGAAUCAAAUAAUAAAUAAAACAAGCAUAUGCUGGAAGUCCUCAGAAACAGCUCCGACUUUGAUGAUUUUUUUUUUAAGUCUAUUUAAAAAAAGAAAAUUUUAAUUAGUUUUUAUGUUAUUUAAAAUCAGAAAUGUUUUGGUGAACGAAAUUAUUUAAAUUGUUAAAAAAUAUCUAUGCUAUUUAUACAUAUUUUUUUUUAAAUACAACCGACUUCAAAAAUACAAACUUAUGCAGAAAACUAAUAAACGAAAGAAAAUAUUAUAAUAUUUUCUAUCUAUUGAUCACUUUGAAGGCGGUGCCAAUGGUCCAAUUAAUGGGCCGACAAUUAGUUAUCUAAUGUUUUCCUAGCUAUAGGGUUCGAAUUGCUUUUUCAUAUCUUUAAAAGACUAUCUUCGGAAUGAACCCUUUAUAAUAAAAAAGUAUUACCAAAAUCGGACCACUCAAUAAAAAGUUAUACUUGGUUGUAUACUAAAAUUAAUGGUUAAACAAUCAAUCAUCCCCUGUUUUUGUAAUCUAAAAGCAUAACUGUUAACAUGAGUAGUCCGAUUUUGAUAAUUCUUGAUUGUUUUAGUUUAAAACCAAGCAUGUCUUCGAAUUCCGAUUUGAAUAACUUUGUUUUAAAUAGAAAGGGUAUAUUCCGACAAUGGUCCCAAAUCAUUAUAAAUUUUAAUUAUUCCCAUUGUAAAAAUAUGCGUAACUUAUUACGAAGUGGUCCGAUUUCGUAAAUUCUUUAUAGAUUGUAAAGGUAUUUUGAUUGUAAAGCUCCCAUAUAAAUUUUAAAAAACAAUUCCAAUCCUAAAUGUGCGAUUGAUUGUUUUCUCAUUCAUUUUAAUAUAAAACCAAGCAUAACUUUUUAUUGGGUGGUUCGAUUUUGAUUAUUCUUUUUUUGAUAGAAAGGGUAUAUUCCUAAAAGUCUCAUAAAAUGUUGGAAAACAAUUUCAAACCUAAUAGUAGGAAAAUAGAAGAUGAUUAAUUGUUUUCCCAUUUAUUGUAAUGUUAAACUAUGCGUAACUUUUUACUGAGUGGAACGAUUUUGAAAAUUCUUUACUUUUUGUAAAGGGUUUAUUUCGAAGUAGGUCCCAUAUAAAUUUCGGAAAACAAUUCGAAUCCUUAAGGUGGAAAAAAACGGUACGAUUGAUUGCCUACCCAUUAAUUGUACAAUUGGCACCGGCUUCAGUAAUCAGUAGAUAGAUAAUAAAAAUUUUAAUAAAAAAAAUACAACCGACUUCAAAACCUAAAAACGUACCCGCUAAACUAAAAAGUGAAAAAUAACAUCAUAAUAUGUUCUACCUGCUGAUCAGUAUGAAGGCGGUGCUAAGCCGGUGAUGUAUUAAUUCAAGCCAUGUGAGAAUAUCUUGUAGAUUUAGAUUUUGCAGACAGUGUGGUUUCAUGUGGUCCUGUCAGAAAUGGCUUUAAUUAAGACAACACCGGCUAAGCACCGCCUUCAUACUGAUCAGCAGGUAGAACAUAUUAUGAUGUUAUUUUUCACUUUUUAGUUUAGCGGGUACGUUUUUAGGUUUUGAAGUCGGUUGUAUUUUUUUUAUUAAAAUUUUUAUUAUUUUUCCAUUUUUAGUGUAAAAUUUCAUCUCAAACGAAUACAUCAGACCCCUAAUGACAGUCACAACCCAUCUUGGUACAAAAUUCUCAGCAAUACAAAUUAAUCAAGCCCAAGCACAAGGUAGCUACCGUAAACCGUUAAGGAGUUCCCUUAAUUGACCUUGGUCUUCAUCAUCAGACCCCUAAUAACAGACACAACUCAUACAGGUAGAAAGUUCUCAGCAAUACGAAUUAAUCAAGGCCAAACACAAGGUAGUUACUGUAAACUGUUAAGGAGUUCCCUUAAUUGUCCUUGGUCUUCAUCACCAAACCCCUAAAUGACAGUCACAACCUAUCUAUGUGGAAAGUUCUCAUUAAUACAAAUUAAUCAAGCCCAAACACAAGGUAACUGCUGUGAAUCGCCGAGGAGUUCCCUCGUCUGUUUUAUGGCUCCAUCAUCAGAUCGACUUUAAACCUUCAUAAAAUUAUAGUGCCUUAAAGUACUAAAUGGAAAAGUAUACGAACACACUAGACACCCAUAUAAUUUUCGAAAGUUCCCCUCAAUUUCUCCAGGAUUCCACCAUCAGAUCUUGACAUGAUGGCAAUGGGACCAAAUGGGGGCUAUACCGUUUCAAACAAAAAAAGAAUUUUUGAAAUCGGUCCAGGCGUCUUUGAGUAAUCGGUGUACAUACAUAAAAAAAAAAAAAAAAAAAAAUACCGACCGAAUUGAGAACCUCCUCCUUUUUGAAGUCGGUUAAAAAUAUUAUAAUGUUUUCUUCAGCUUAUUAGUUACUGCAUAACUUUGUGUUUUUGAAGUCGGUAGUGUUUGUUUUUUUAAUAAUUUAUUAUAUAAAUAGCAUAACUAUUGUUAAAUAGUAUAAAUCGUUCCAUCAUCACUCCAAAAGGUUUCUGAUUUCAAAUGAUAUGAAGAAACAAACUGAACAAAAAUAAUCAUCAAAAUCAGAGCUGUUUCUGAGGAGGUAGAGGGUAAAUGCUCUAUUGAUUCGCCUAAAAGUAAUAUUAUGUUAUCGCAUUAGGUUGUAAAGUUUGGCUAAUGAAAGUAGAGACUGAAAUUGCCCGCCAAAUUUAAAAAUCAUAUAAACAAAUUAAAAAAACAUGCGUUUUCAUAAUUUAUUUAAAUUAGUUUUUCUUUGUGAAUACAUUAUUACCUAUACUAUAAGUGUUAAACUCAGUUAUUCCAAUAUUUGCACUAUAAUUUUGAGAAUUUACUUCGAAUUUUUUAAAAUUUGGCGGGUGAUUUCAGUUUCUACUUUCAUUAGCCAAAUUCUAAUAAUUUUAUUGUUUAUGAAAUUUAUACUAAUUAGAAAGAAGAAGAAUUUGAUUAUUGAUUUGUUUGCAUUGAAUAGGCUGUGAAACUACUUUGCUGAUUUAAAAAUUUGUUACAGCAUUAUAAUCAUGGAUUAGGCCAUAAUUGUUAUCUCUGUAUUCCCACGGGAACGAGAACUACGCUGGUGAAACUGAGUGACGUUUGCAUAGUUUAUCAUAUGUACAAAUAUCCCGACAAUCUAUAUUUUUAUGUAUGAAUUGGUUAAGUUAUAAUUGACUUGAUUUUCCAAAAUAUCUCAGUGAAGU